GUUUAAUAAAAUGACAUUUAACGCGGCAGGUUUGAGAACGAUGCAACAAUAGUUUACAUUGCAACGCGUUUAAUGUCACUCGUUACUGAACUUUUUACACUUAUUUUCCGUACCUAAUAUACUUAAAAGAUAAGAAGAGUCAUAACAAUAUACUACGAUAAGUGCACAGGUACUUAUUCUAGUUGUUUAAUGUUCUCCAAUUUAUAGAAAAAACACAC
rnacentral:lncRNA from 1 species